UUUUUAGAUUCAUUAAGGGUUGUUGGGGGAAAGAAACCCAACAAAGAUCGCCUGUGGUGCACAAAGUUUGAAAUGUUUGCUCUCUGGCCGUUCACAGAAAAGCCUGCCAUCUGCUCUGAGGCGUUGCAGCGGCAGCAAAUGUAGGGCACAGCCACCAUCUCUGUGGGAAAAGAAGUUGGAAUUAUUAAAACUUGGAAACUUAACAAAGAGUCCCAAGGGCCUGAGACCCAGACCCUGAGGUGGGGGGUGAUGAAGCUGUCUCCGAAAAUGGUAGAAAAUCAGCACCCUCGACGGAGCUGCUGCUGCAUGGGUGAUGAAGCAUUGCGUGUGCCACUCACGGGUAGGGGAGCCUACUGCCGUCUCCCAGGAAGUAGACAGGAAGGAGCGGGAUCCUUCCCUCUCCCCAAGGCUUUCACUCUCCCUCCUUCGUACCCUCUUUAGAGCCCAACAUGAAGGCAGUUUACAAAGCAAACAUCUGUGUUGCCCCCACAUCACAAUGCAGACCGAAGCAGAGUGGGUUUGCAGCAAAGAGAUAAUGACACGGGAAGCUUUCCCUGAACUUGAACAUGUGCUCAGUGCCCUCUGUCACAUCUUUACUGUGCUUUGUUUCUUUUCUCCAUAGCACUUCCUACAGUUAGUGAUAAUGAUGGCAAGCAUUAAUACAGCACCUACUAUGUGCCAACCCAGUGCUAAGUACUUUUCAAGAUUUAAUCUUCACAACAGCCCCUGUGCAGAUAGACACUCAUUUAUCUCCAUUUUACAGAUCGUGAAACUGAGGCAUAGAGAAGCAAAAUAACUUACUCAAGGUUGUACUCAACAUAUAAGUAGAAAAACCAGACUUUGAAUUUUAGUUUUGAUCCAAGGACUGAGUUCUUUACCCUAUGCUGCCCCUCAGUUUUAAUUUUAUGCUUGUGGAUCUUGACUCAGUAUGUGUCUCCCUCAUCAGACAGGUUUCAGGAGGGCCAGCCCCAGGACUCUUUCUGCUGGCCACUGGACCCCCUGCGCCUGCUGCCAGGUCUGGCACACAGAAUGGAUGAAUAAAUGGACGAGGAGUCAGAGUUGCAAAAAGUCGAGCCAACAGUUAACUGUCAGAGCUGGAAUUCAAACCCAGGUCUGUUGGAAGCCAGGCUCAUAUCCUUCCCAUCAGGGACUGGCAGGAGAGGGCUUGCCAGCCAGUGAUCCAUGAGGUUCCUAUGAUGGCCUUGCAACACUGGAGAUUCAUCACUGUUAUCUGUGUUUUGAUCAAAUGAUAGUGUUCCUGUGGAGUUAUCCAGAAUGUGUGACCAGCUGUAAUUCCCCAUUCCCUGGUCAUGCAGCCUGAGGGAAAUCACUGUCCUCUGUAAGCCCAGUCAGCAAACCCAGGGAGCUGGGUCUUCUAGCAAAGCUUUCUCACACUCACGCCAUGCUAACUAACUAUAGUUAUGUCUGGCGUGGAGUCUGGCAACGGGGUAGGGAUUCCUGUACUUUUUAUUCCAUAUACUAUUCAAGUAUUUGGAUUUCUUUUACAAUGAGCAUACUAAAGAAAAAUAUUUUUUAAAAAAUACUGAAAAAAUAGUGUUUCUUAUGGCAAAUUUGAACAAACUGAAUGGUGCCCAUGACUUCAGGACAACAUUUUUGCCCCUUAGCAGGUCAUCUUCUAACUUCUGUCUGCCUCUCCGGCCUUGCCUUCUAUCUACCCCACGUAGAUACCCAGCCCCUGGCUCAAAUACUUGCCAGGCUCUGCGUGCUGCAUUUUCUGUUCUCUCUGCCUAUUGUGUUCACUUGUGGUAAAGCCAACAUCCCCAUAAUGGCACGUGAGACACUGCAUGCUCUGGCCCUCAGUGCAGCCCGUUUGCCCCUCCUCUGUUCCUCUGUCUCAUGCUGGAGUAGAAGCUCAGAGGAAUCCGAGGGAACUAACAGAGAAAGGCAGAAGAACAGUAGGUUUUACAAACAUUUAUUUAUUCAAUUAACCAUAUGGGCUGUUUUAAAAGCAAUGAAAUCCAACUUAGUCAGUUUUCUGUGCUAGUUAUCUUAGAUAUUCCUGUGACAGUAGCAGCUCCAGAAACUCAAAUGUUAGGUGUGGCUUGGGGCAAUAACCUGGUGGACAGGGAAUCGGGAGGAGGGAAAUAGAGAAAUGGCCCCCAAGCUGUAUUUGUAUGGUAAGCAUAUGGCUUUUCAGUGAUUUUGUGUUUAUUUGGUUGAAAGGAUCUGUCAGAGAAUUCAUAAAUUUCAUAGCUACUGCUAAUGAUAGUAGAUGCCAGAUCUCUGCUGGUUAAAACAGAAACCAGCUUGAUCUAAAUUAAGAAAAAUAGAGAAUAGAAGGUUAAAGGGGGGUCAGACAGACUCAGUCAGUGGAAUUCAGGCAGGCCCUGGGGAGUACUGGAGCCAGGGGCUGGGAAGCCCUCAGAAUACUCUAACUUCUCUGUUCUCUUAUUGCCAAUAAACCAACUUCCUCUGCUUUUCCAUUUCUCAUUGUGGGAAACAUAGCUGCCCCAGAGCUCCCAAGUUCACAUUAAACUUCCAACUUCAAAGAGAAACAAGCUCAGCCAUCUCUUGGUCUCAAUACUAGAUUAUGAGAGAAAGAAUGGAUUGGUCCAGCUUGACUCAGGUGACCACUCCUGGUCCAGUCAGUGGCAAGAAAGAAGGAGUCACGUUGUCACACGGUACAUCAUGGCUGCUGGAGGCUGCUGGCAGAUGAGCAGGCACGUGCUUAGGGAGGAGGGUCAUUCUGAGCUGGGCAGACAUUCCAAAGGUGUCUACUGUAUUAAGAAAAAAGACAUUUGUAACCUGCAGAAGGGAAACAUUUGGACACAGAGGGAAUGCUUGAUAAGUGCUUGCUGUUGAAGGGCCCAUAGAGGGACCUGCGAAAUGAUCUAUUGAUUGGGUUGUGGAUUAAGCUAGUACUUCUAUUACAGUGUCUUAGUUAUUUGACUCUUGACUCUCUGGAAGCCCCAAAACUAUGAAACCAAAAUUAAUAAUAGCAAAGACUUCCACAGCACCUUAAUAUGCCAGACCCUGUACUAAGAACUUGACUUUCUGUUAAUUUAUUUAAAUUAAUCUUCACAACAAUGCCAUGAGGUAAAUACCAUUAUUGUUUCCAUUUUACAGAUGUGGCACAGAGGGGUGACAUCAUUCACCCCAGGUCACAUUGUCGAUAAGAGGUGGAGCCAGAUUUUGAAUUCAAAGAGUCUAGCUUCAUGGUCUCUGCUUUCGGGGGAGUAGCUAGAAAUAGCUGAAAGGCUCUGAAAACAAGGCUGGGAUGUUCUGUGAUGGAUCAUCUUGCCAAAUGAAAAAGAGGGACUCUCUUCUGGUUGAUGAUGGCAGCCGGAACCAGGAGCAAGAGAAGCUGCACCAAAAAAUAAGAUGAGAGGCAAGAAAACAUAAAAAAUAUGGAUGGAUGGAGUAAGAGACUACACAGAAAAGGUAGUAUGAGGACAGUGUGAAAUAGGAAAACCAUAGAGCAGAACUUGCAGAAAGAAAUACCACCUCAGUGUCUGUCAUAUUGUGGUCUGUAGACCACCUUUACUCAUACUUAAAACGCAAUUGCCUGGGCUCCUCGGAAAUCUAUUAGAGUUAUCGGAAAUCCACCUGUGUUAACAAACACUGUUAAGCAUUGUCAUUUUGUGAGAGCACUUAGCAGCAAACAGCCUUAUGCAGCCCCACAACCCUGGAGGCAUCACUGGGUACGGCAGUAUCUUCCUUUAAUCUCUAUACUAUUAGUUUGAGAAGUAUGGGUACAUUUUGUAUUAACUUCCAUUGAUAGGAGGGUCUGAAAUGAGAAUCAAAAAUGCUGUGCUUUAAUUCUGGCUCUGUCACAAAAUAGCAGUGUGACCAUUAGCAGACAAUUUCUGUGCAGUCUAAGAUUCUCCUCUAUUAAGGGGUUAGGGUAAAUGGGAUCAGGGAAAGGUAGCUGAAACAUGUUCUUCCACCCACAUCCUCCACGUGUCCUGCAGCCUUGCACAUCCUCCCCUGUCCGUGGCAGACAUUAUUGAUCAGUCAUGACACUCCUCGAGGAGCUCUGAUGUGGCUUUCCUGUAUUUUCACCCAGCACUCCAAACAUUCAUUGUCAGUUGCUUAAAGUUGGCUUCCCAUUGAAACUUACUUGCCAUCUCUAACUGGAUGACCCACAAAGCUCCUGUAAGCUCUGAAAAUUCAUAGCGCUCUACAGGAUAAAAGCAAUUUUAUUAUUUGCUUUAAAGAGUACAUUUUCAUUUAUAUAAAAAUUAAUUUAACUAAUAUUUUAAUAUUUAGUAGUUCAAUAGUCUGAUCUUUUAAGUCUCAUAUGGACCUUCUUUCUUCCAGUUAUUCCAACUAGAUUGUAAUUAUGAUUUGAAUGUUGCUUGUCCUGAAAACUCUCUAAGUCUUCAUUAUUAAAUUAUGCUAAGUGGUUAGACUAACUUGACCUUAAACUCAUGUUUUAGGUCAGCUUGAACUUUCACAAAUACAAGUUUAAAGUUCAGGAAUUUUCUAUUUUAAAAUAAAAAGGAGGUGGGGGAGAGGAAUGAGUUGUGAAGAAAGCCCUGAAUGUAGAAGUACUUUAGGAAAAAAUAUAAAUAAAAACUUUUUGAUAUGAUGAAAUCAGCCCUGGACUGUUGAUUACUCAAAAGAAAUUCUCAUGCCAAUUGUAAAUAAUUCUAAGUUCUGCAUUUUUGUUUAAGAAUUUUGAGAAUCAUGCUUACGAAUUAGCUGAAAGUAAAGGGGAAAAAGAUUUUAAAAAUAUGAUGCAGUUGACCUUUAUUGUUCUUAAGUCCCAUGGGUUCUGUGCCAAUGAAAACAUAAUUUUUCUUUCUGUUGUCACUGGGUUGAAAUUGUUGAAAAUGAUGAUUUCGCUUCAUUUAUUAACCUCAAAGAACAUUGUGUCAGGAUGGGAAAUGAAUAUUUCAAGCAGGCAAACAAUCUUCCCAAAGCAAUUAUGGAGAAAUUUGAAAUUGGCCCAGAUAAGUGGAUUCUGUUAUUCUGAUCUGGACUCAAAACAGAAAUGUUUUGGUUCUGGACACUCUGUUGUGAGGCCUGGAAGGGCUCCCUCAACAUUAACUGUACCCUGGAUCCAAACCUUACUUCCGAGAAGGCCUAGCAGGAGCUUGGGCUGGGUUGCAUUACUUAGCCAAUCACAAGGCCUGAGAAAUCUCGUGCUUUGAUGGGAAAAUGUACCAGACAAGCGGCCCUAGGUCAGACGGAGCGCAUUAAUGUAAAACCUCAGGAAAUGGGACUGAGGCUCUAGAGGGCAGAGAGAUCGGCUGAGCUGGCAAAUUGUCUGAAUUAUAAAAUAUAUGACCAGAAAAAGAUGCAUUAUAUUAAAAUACACAAGUAGCUGGAACGAACUUCUCCAAAUGUAUUACCCGAUGGAGGUGCGGGUAAGGUGACUCCUUUGUAAGGAGCAGAAGCAGUAUGCAAAUGAACGGUGUGAUCUGCAGCAGCCAGAAAGAAGCUGCCCUUAGUCAGUACCAUGGUUUUAACACCCAGUUUAACACUCCAUUGUGCAGUUGCCAUUGUGCAGUUUCCAUUGUAUUUAAUAAUUUUCAUAUGAGUAGUUUUCUCACCAACAAGAUUGCAAAUUCCUUAACAUUGAAACAAGGUCACCAACGUGACCAGGUUGGUGCCGAGUGUGUUCACACUUAGCCUGAGUGAAUAUUUACUCAUUGUCUCCUGUGUGCAAUCUCCGUGCGAGGCAUUUUCCACGUUAUAUCAUUUAUUUUUACAUUGUCUCUCAAAGAAUCUUGUGAUGGAGAUAUGAUUAUCACAAUUUUUGGAGUGAAGAAACAGAAUCUGAGUCAUCUAUGUUAAAUAAUUUAUGGUUCUACAUUUCGUGGUGGAUUGAAAUUCAGGUCCUGGGUUUCAGAAGCGGGUGUGGAAUAAUGGGUCUUAGCGGUCCCAUCCUUAGUCUUCUGCUGAAGUUAGUCUCAUGUCAUCUCAGAAUAAGUUUUAGAUUUGGGAUUAUUUAUUUUCCUUUUGUAAUUUGGACCCUAACUUGUAGAUCAAGUUUCACAUCUGUUCUACAGCUUAGCACCCAAAAUAGAAAUUUUAUAUGUGAUAGAGCCAGAGUAUAUUUUUCUUUAUCCUUUGGUUAUUUUUUCUUUCCUACUCACAUAGCUUGUGGUGAAAUUAUUUUCCUUAGACUUUCAUACUAAAAUAAUUUGCCUUUGGGUGGAGGCCAAGCACAGACCAUUUUCAAUUCUGUAACAAGAUUGUUUUUCUAAGCAAUGCUAGUGAAAGAAUUCCUGUAUCUUACAAUGGACAUUUGUAAAUUGAUUAUUUUAGGCAAUUGAUGCUAGAAUGUAGUCUUUUUCAAAACCUGUAUCUUCUAUACCUACCCUUAGGAAAGAACCCAAAAACUACACAGAAAACAAGAGCUGUGACCCAAAAGCCCACAUCAAUUACUAUUUCCAGAUUCAUAUAACCGUUUGCUUCCUUUGCGUUGAGUAUGAAAUUUUAAUGAGGCUAUUUAAUUUCCCAUUUUUCACAUAGCUGUGGAUAAAAAUUCCUUCUUACUUCACAGGAAAAUAAGAAUUGGAAAGAAGAACCCUCAAACUUCAUAAAAUAAUCAUAUGGUUUACAUCUGUCCAUCACUCACCUUGCACAAGAAGUAACGUAAAGUGCUUUAUCUGCAUUAUUAUGGUUAAGACUUACAAUCCUAUGUGAUAGAUAAUUGUCUUCAUAAAAAGUAGAGGAACCAACACUCAAAGAAAUAAUUUGUCUAAGAUCACUCAGCUACAAUAAAUUCCAGAUCCAGGACUCAAAACCAAAUCAGACUGGCUCCGGAACACUUGUUCUUCAUCUUUUUAAAAAUAACAUUUUAUUUUGGAAUAUUUUAACUUUUCAGAAAAGUUACAGAAAUAGUACAGAGAGUUCAUACAUACACACCCUCACCCAGUUUCUCCCCAUGUCACCACCUUACAUCGCCACAGCACAUUUGUCAGAACUAAGAAGCUGGUGUUGGUACGUUACUAAAUAUUAACUAAACUCCAGACUUUAUGCAGAUUUCACCAGUUUUUUCCUCUAAGGUCCCCUUUCUGUUCCAGGAUCCAGUCCAGGGCA